UAAGAAAACUUGCUUGCGAAAUGACUGC
rnacentral:sRNA from 1 species